rnacentral:tRNA from 1 species
CUCUGUAGCUCAGUUGGUUAGAGAGCUGCACCGGAAUCGCAGGGUCGCAGGUUCAAUUCCUGCCAGGG